rnacentral:sRNA from 1 species
AGCGCUCCUGCCUCCCCCCGGCUUUGGAAGGCGGGCCCGGGCUGCGGCAGCGGCGGCCUCGGCUGCCUGGGGAGGUGAAGUCGGGCUGCGGCGGCCUCGCUCAAACUGGAGGAUUAUAAGGAUCGCCUGAAAAGUGGAGAGCAUCUUAAUCCAGACCAGUUGGAAGCUGUAGAGAAAUAUGAAGAAGUGCUACAUAAUUUGGAAUUUGCCAAGGAGCUUCAAAAAACCUUUUCUGGGUUGAGCCUAGAUCUACUAAAAGCGCAGAAGAAGGCCCAGAGAAGGGAGCACAUGCUAAAACUUGAGGCUGAGAAGAAAAAGCUUCGAACUAUACUUCAAGUUCAGUAUGUAUUGCAGAACUUGACACAGGAGCACGUACAAAAAGACUUCAAAGGGGGUUUGAAUGGUGCAGUGUAUUUGCCUUCAAAAGAACUUGACUACCUCAUUAAGUUUUCAAAACUGACCUGCCCUGAAAGAAAUGAAAGUCUGAGGUAAGCUAAUGAA